GAACAGAACAGAGAAGUACUCAGAAAUAGUUGAUAUUGCAGAAUCGAUUAUUAGUGGUUCGGCCACCUCGAAGCAACUGAACAGACUUGAAAAUCUUCUUUCUAAUGAUCCGAAGGCUCAACAUUUUUAUAUUGAAUACCUUGAGUUUUAUAUGCAACUGAAAUCAGAUGCAGUGCCUAAUUUCGAAGUGGUUCAUCGAAAAACGCUUAUCGACGAAGUUUUUGUAAGAUCUUUAGCAAGCUCAAAAGAGCAGCAACCACACUUACUCGACGCUACCUCUCAAUUAGACAAAGGCAAUAGACGCGCUAAAAAGUUUUAUUUUUAUUUUAUCGUUUUCUAGAAAAAGCUUUAAAUAACACCGUACUGUAAUCCGACACAGGUAGAUUAGUAAAAUAUACUAAGGCGUUCAAGAUAACUAUAUUGAAGGAACUCGGCAAAUUAACUCUGUAACUUCGGGAUAAAGAGGGGCUUUUGCUGGCACAAAAGAGAAAGAAGCGACUGUUUAUUAAAAACACAAGUCUCUGCAAAUUUUAUAAAAAUGUAUAGGGGCUGACACCUGCCCGGUGCUGUAAGAUGAAACUUUAUUGUAAUUAUGCUUUGAGGCUAAAUCCCAGUAAACGGCGGCUGUAACUCUAACGGUCCAAAGGUAGCGAAAUUCCUUGUCGGGUAAGUUCCGACCUGCAUGAAUGGUGUAACGACUUCUUUGCUGUCUCCAACAUAUGUCUAGUGAAAUUGAAAUAUCCGUGAAGAUGCGGAUUGUUUACAGGUAGACGGAAAGACCCCGUGCACCUUUACUAUGAUUUUAAAUUGUAUAAUUUUAAAUUUUGUGUAGAAUAGGUGGGAAUGUAAAUAGUAUUAGUGAAAUACCACUCUUAAUUUUUAAUUGUACUAAUUUUAUUGGUAUAUUUAGAUAAAAAUUUAAUGUAUUAAAAGACAGUUUAAGAGAGGUAGUUUGACUGGGGCGGUCACCUCCUAAAAAGUAACGGAGGUGUGCAAAGGCAAAUUCAAAUAAUUAUUUAUUGAAGAGUGUAAUGGCAUAUAUUUGCUUGACUGUAAGAUUGACAAAUCAAACAGGGAUGAAAGUCGGUCAUAGUGAUCCGGUGAUUCUUAGUGGAAAGGUCAUCGCUCAACGAAUAAAAGGUACGCCGGGGAUAACAGGCUGAUGGUUUCUGAGAGUUCAUAUCGACGAGACCGUUUGGCACCUCGAUGUCGGCUCAUCACAUCCUGGAGCUGAAGUAGGUUCCAAGGGUUCGGCUGUUCGCCGAUUAAAGUGGUACGUGAGCUGGGUUUAGAACGUCGUGAGACAGUUCGGUCCCUAUCUGCCGUGGGUGUAGGAGAUUUGAGAAGAGUUGCCCCUAGUACGAGAGGACCGGGGUGAACGAUCCACUGGUGGAUCUGUUGUCGUGCCAACGGCAGUGCAGAGUAGCUAUGAUCGGACAGGAUAACCGCUGAAGGCAUCUAAGCGGGAAGCCCCCUUCAAAACAAGAUAUCCCUGAGAGCCGAGGUAGACCACCUCGUCGAUAGGCCAGAGAUGUAAGCGGUGUAAGCCGUUCAGUUGACUGGUACUAAUUGCUCGAUAGGCUUGAUUUG
rnacentral:rRNA from 1 species